GGUCAAGUGAAGAAGCGCAUACGGUGGAUGCCUUGGCAGUCAGAGGCGAUGAAAGACGUGAUAGCCUGCGAUAAGCUUCGGUGAGGUGGCAAAUGACCUGUGACCCGGAGAUCUCUGAAUGGGGGAACCCACCUAGCAUAAGCUAGGUAUCUUAACCUGAAUCCAUAGGGUUAAGAGGCGAACCAGGGGAACUGAAACAUCUAAGUACCCUGAGGAAAAGAAAUCAACCGAGAUUCCCUUAGUAGUGGCGAGCGAACGGGGACCAGCCCUUAAGUUGAUUUGAGAGUAGCGGAACGCUCUGGAAAGUGCGGCCAUAGUGGGUGAUAGCCCUGUACGCGAAACGCUCUUAUCAAUGAAAUCGAGUAGGACGGGGCACGAGAAACCCUGUCUGAAUAUGGGGGGACCAUCCUCCAAGGGCUAAA
rnacentral:ncRNA from 1 species